UAAUGUUGGUUUAGUAGAUAAUCUAACACUUUGUUUUAGCUUUAGUUAACUAAAAUAACACUAUAGAAUAUUUAUGAUAGCAUAAUGCCACUAUUGACCUCAAAUGCAUUGUAGAAUCACUGAACCAGUCAUAAUCAAGAAUUCAACAACGCCCUGCUAAAAAAGGUUUCAGUUUAGAAAUGUUUAUUGUUACAGACAGGACCUGAUCUGCAUAUUACCCGUGAGAACGGCUAAUCGAAGGUCAUGAUGAGAGAUAGCUGCUGUCAAACUGCUCAGUAAUAUCGCUCUGGGUCACGGAGCAGCACUGGCUCCAGAUGAGGGUUUCUCUGAUCCCCGGUAUGUGGAUGUGGUGAUAGUGCGGCCCAUGAAAGACUAUCCAUCCAAAGAUACGCCUUCUACAGCAGAAUGUUUAAUGUGCCCUCAGUUUUUAUCUCAGGACUGGAGACCAAGACCCACGAUAAAGCCAGCAUCCAGAGACUGACAGAGAGUUUGGUCACCAAUCUUCAGGCAGCCCUCCACUGUUAGCACUAUCUACAGGUAACUGAUCUGAAAGCAACGCCUCUGAACCUGAAUUCAGUUGAUUUACUCUCAAAGUCCAACUGCUGAAGCUGCCUCCAAGUGCCUGCUGGGUCUCUGUGCUCUCGACACGAAAGCAGGCAGAUUAUACAUCUAACAAAGUUCCUGUUUAUGUCACAUGUUGACAUCGUCAGGGUUUGAUUUGCAGUUGAGAUUGAUCUAUAAACGUUUUUUUUUUUUUGUAUUUGAGCAUUUUUCAUUAAGAUAUCGGUUUUGUUGUAUUGCAUCCACUGAUAAAUGAAUCGCACAGACUCAUAGAGUUACAUAGUGGAAAUCAGAUCUGUCAGAGAAGCCUUAAUGGACCCAUAGAUUAAUGUAGAGGAAGCCAAUUCCAUCUCAAAGACCUAACUUUACAAUAAUGAAAUAAAAAUGCCUUUGAUGAGUGCAUGUUGGAAAUAAUUGAAUUCUCUCUUUUUUGCCUAUGCUCAUUAGUCUCAUAAAACUGCCAUCGGAUGUCAUUUACUUGCACUGUGGAACAUACAAGCGCUGUGGAAAUAAAUGCAUCUCCUCAAGCGAUUGCAUAAGUGCAUAGAAAUUCAUGGGGCAUAAUACACAUUAAUACACAAUAGAUGCAUUAAAAAACUUAAAGUUUGAUGAGACGUGGGUGUCAUUUGCUGCCAGAUUCCCCCGGUAGGCUUUUAGUGUCUUAAGUUAUGUCCUGUGCUGACGUGGGCAAACAUUCAGUCAAAUCUGAGUCACUGUGCAAUUAUAAAGAAAAAAUAUAUAUAUAUGAAUUGCUCAUUACAGUUUGUCUGUGAUGGGUUGUCCAGAAAACUCAAGUGAUUGCACUACAGAGUGAGUUUUAUGUAAGUGUGUAGAAAUUCAUGAUGUAAAAUACACAGAUGAAUUAAAAAAGUUUGUUGAUGAGAUGUGGGUGUCAUUUGCUGCCACAUAGGACUGUAAAUUAUUACACUUAUGGAAAAAUGUUCCAAAAACCAGCUUCACUGUAAACCUGUCUUUCUAGUAAGGUUUUGAGUUUUAAACAGGCUUUUUUUUCCCAGAUAAAGCUUCUGCUUUCAAUGCUACUUUGGUUUCUGAACAGCUAUCCCAGAUUAAACUUCAGGACCCGUCUGUAGAUGCACCAGCACGGUCAGCAGAGGAGGGUCAGAGAUGCUCAAACAGAUACAUUCCACCUCUAACUUUUUGAAAAAAUUGUAUUCUUUUUGAAGUUUUAGUUUAAGGUGAGUCAUCAGUUGGAAUGCAUUUGAUGCUUUAAGAUUUGAUUUCUGAAUUGUAUUUCAGGAAGGUCAGGACGUGAAGACACUAAUGUGUUAUAGACUCACUGUCAAAGACAUGGAGAGUCUGACACAAGCUCAGCACUCCUGGGCCAUUCAUGUUGUCCAAUCAUUUUGCAUACUGUACUCAAAUAAAAUUUGUUAUGUGCUAGAUGACAUGGCAUUACAGCAGUUUCACAUGUCAUAUAAAAUAUUGUUCUAUAUAUUUUUCUAAUUUCUAUUACCGGUAUAUUUCAGAUUUUAAAUAACUUA